AACAAACGCUGGCGGCGUGCCUAACACAUGCAAGUCGUACGAGAAAGGGUCCUUCGGGGCCUGAGUAAAGUGGCGCACGGGUGAGUAACGCGUGGAUAAUCUACCCUUCAGUUGGGAAUAACUCAUCGAAAGGUGGGCUAAUACCGAAUAAUGCUGUGAGACCUCGGUCGAUCAGCCAAAGAGAGCCUCUGCUUGCAAGCCCUCGCUGAAGGAUGAGUCCGCGUACCAUUAGCUAGUUGGUAGGGUAAUGGCCUACCAAGGCGACGAUGGUUAGCUGGUCUGAGAGGAUGAUCAGCCACACUGGAACUGAGACACGGUCCAGACUCCUACGGGAGGCAGCAGUGAGGAAUCUUGCGCAAUGGGGGCAACCCUGACGCAGCAACGCCGCGUGAGUGAGGAAGGUCUUCGGAUCGUAAAGCUCUGUCGGAUGGAAAGAACCGCAUAGGGGUAAAUAGCCCCUGUGUCUGACGGUACCAUCAGAGGAAGCACCGGCUAACUACGUGCCAGCCGCCGCAGUAAAAC
rnacentral:rRNA from 1 species